UGGGGAAUCUUGGACAAUGGGGGCAACCCUGAUCCAGCCAUGCCGCGUGAGUGAUGAAGGCCUUAGGGUCGUAAAGCUCUUUCGCCUGUGAAGAUAAUGACGGUAGCAGGUAAAGAAACCCCGGCUAACUCCGUGCCAGCAGCCGCGGUAAUACGGAGGGGGCAAGCGUUGUUCGGAAUUACUGGGCGUAAAGGGCGCGUAGGCGGAACAUCAAGUCAGAGGUGAAAGCCCUGGGCUCAACCCGGGAACUGCCUUUGAAACUGAUGAUCUAGAGUCCGGAAGAGGAUGGCGGAAUUCCCAGUGUAGAGGUGAAAUUCGUAGAUAUUGGGAAGAACACCGGUGGCGAAGGCGGCCAUCUGGUCCGGUACUGACGCUGAGGCGCGAAAGCGUGGGGAGCAAACAGGAUUAGAUACCCUGGUAGUCCACACCGUAAACGAUGAAUGCCAGUCGUCGGGUAGCAUGCUAUUCGGUGACACACCUAACGGAUUAAGCAUUCCGCCUGGGGAGUACGGUCGC
rnacentral:rRNA from 1 species